rnacentral:misc_RNA from 1 species
GAUGAAGGACGUAGCGAAAUGCGAUAAGUAAUGUGAAUUGCAGAAUUCAGUGAAUCAUCGAAUCUUUGAACGCACAUUGCGCCCAUUAGUAUUCUAGUGGGCAUGCCUGUUCGAGCGUCAUUAAUUCCACUUAAGCCCUGCUUAGUGUUGGGAAUCUACUCUAGUGGUGCUACCCUGGAGCUACCCCUGAAAGGGGGCUGGCCCGGUAGCUACCCUGUAGUUCCUCAAAGAUAGUGCGCGGAGUUGCGUGGUCCUCUGAGCUUAGUAACUAUACACCUAGCUUUUGAGUGUCCCGCGGCGCCUGCCGUUUAAACCCCAUCUUUUAAUGGUUGACCUCGGAUCAGGUAGGAAUACCCGCUGAACUUAAGCAUAUCAAUAAGCGGAGGA